rnacentral:rRNA from 1 species
UACGUAGGGUGCAAGCGUUAAUCGGAAUUACUGGGCGUAAAGCGUGCGCAGGCGGUUUUGUAAGUUUGUCGUGAAAUCCCCGGGCUCAACCUGGGAAUGGCGAUGAAGACUGCAAGGCUAGAAUCUGGCAGAGGGGGGUGAGAAUUCCACGUGUGAGCAGUGAAAUGCGUAGAGAUGUGGAGGAACACCGAUGGCGAAGGCAGCCCCCUGGGUCAAGAUUGACGCUCAUGC